rnacentral:rRNA from 1 species
UACAGAGGGGGCAAGCGUUGUUCGGAAUUACUGGGCGUAAAGGGCGCGUAGGCGGCCGCCUAAGUCAGACGUGAAAUCCCUCGGCUCAACCGGGGAACUGCGUCUGAUACUGGGUGGCUUGAAUCCGGGAGAGGGAUGCGGAAUUCCAGGUGUAGCGGUGAAAUGCGUAGAUAUCUGGAGGAACACCGGUGGCGAAGGCGGCAUCCUGGACCGAAACUGACGCUGAUGCGCGAAAGCCAGGGGAGCAAACGGG